ACCUCGUGCAUGGAGAUGACCCUUUAAAGCCCACCGGAGGAUUUACCUUCGACUGCUCCACGUACAAACCCCAACAGCUUCUGCGUGCUUGUUUCCAGGGAAGGGGGCUGUGUUGAGCUCUUCCCGUACUAUCUCUGCCAUUCAUUUCACGCCGUACCUUGGGAAUACUUCUCCGCGUUGCAAAGUGCUUUUGAGCCAUGAAUUGUAUCUUCCUACUAAUCCCAGGAAUUUUACAGUGGCUCUGAUAUCUGCACGCCGACAGCUCUUAAUAUUUCUUGAAUAUACCAUGUGUUAUCUCCCUGAGAUUGCCUUCCCCGUCUUAUCAUUCUCUCCUUUCACGUUACGGAUGUAGAAAUGUCAGCAGCCGUGUCCCGUUCCGUGCCCUCAUCUCCCAUGUCUUCGUGUCCUUUCCCCUCCCUGCUGCUCCACAUCUCUCUGCGAAACCUUACAUGCAGGUACAAAUUCUGGUCCCAUCCUUGCACCCAGGCUGUGCCCUGCUGCUCCUCUCAUGGAAAAGGGGCUUCCCCUCAUUUCCACGAAGCCAUUUCUUCUAGGAAUUCCUCCGUCAUCCCCUUUAUUUUUUUUACCAAAGCUCACGACAAGAUCUGCAUUUGAGCCCAAACACAGAAAUCUUUACACGAGUCUUUCUUUGGAGUUGAAGACUUCUCUUAGGCCCCCAUUCAGGAAAUAAUUUAGCUGAAGUCAAGCCUACGUUUAAGUGUCCCAGCUCUUUGGAAGGACCAAGCAGCUGCCGUCGUGUUGCUGAGUUUUUGGAGCAUGGUUAAAUUCCCUGCUUUCAGCAAAAUUAUCCGGGGGCGGGAGCCUCUUCACGUGGCACAGGAUGACAGAAACCCAAGGGCUAAGGGGCAGUUCCAAGCUGUAGCUGGUUUGUGGCUGUAUCCAGAGCAAAUUAAGUGAAGUGCAGUGUAAGAGAAGGAAAUUUCCUAUUUAAUAGCAGCCUCGAGAUCAGAACGUUGUUUAUUAGCUGUGUUUUUUUUAAGCUGCGGUGCAUUAUCAGAGCGUUUUCUUCAAAGGAUGCGGUCGCACAGGUCAAAUCCAAGCUUUUGCAGUGAUCUGCAAAAGCAUUUCUGAAAUCAGGACUGGGCCUUUUCCCAUGGUUUUUAUGAAAAAGGUCUGAAAAAAAAAAUAAGUCUUUCUCACCCAUCUCCACGCAGACUUCGGAGAUGAAGAAUAAUGCCUCGUCUUCGGGGUUGACUCCGUAACUCCUUGGCUGUCCGAGCUGUUUAUUCCGAGCACGUUGCCUCGAAAGAGCUGAGGGAUUUUGACUCUGCAGCCUUUCCACGGAGUGCUCAGUAAUCGCUGGAGUGAAAUGGAUGCUCGUGAAACCAGCUCACAGCAGGACUUGGUGGCAGUCCCGCUCAACCCUUCCUCCUCUCCAGCGCCAAGUUUUCGGGCUCUCGGCUGUCAUCGGAUCGGUGGAUUCCCAGGCUCAGGCACUUUCCAGGGCUGAUGAAGCAGGAAUGAGGGGUUUCUUGCCAAAAAAAAACUUCUGGUGCUGUCUUCUGCACAUCGCUGAAGGCCUGGUUUUGAAUUUGCUGCUAAAUGGCACAAAACAGCUUUCUUCGCAAAAACUUGUUGAAAUCCCCACGUUCCCCUGGAAAGUUUCCAUUUCAGCUCGGUUUAAUUUUCCCAAUUUAAAAAAAAAAAAAAAAA